UUUUUUUUUUUUGAAAUGGAGUCUUGCUCUGUCACCCAGGCUGGAGUGCAGUGGCGUGAUCUUGGCUCACUGCAACCUCCCCCUCCCGGGUUCAAGCAAUUCUCCUGCCUCAGCCUCCCAAAUAGCUGUGAUUACAGGCACCCACCACCACACCUGGCUAAUUUUUUGUAUUUUUAGUAGAGAUGGGGUUUCACUAUGUUGGCCAGGCUGGUCUCGAAUGCCUGACCUCAUGAUCCACCCACCUCGGCCUCCCAUAGUGCUGGGAUUACAGGCGUGAGCCACCGCGCCCGGCCGUUAUAUACUCUUUUAAAAUGUUUUUGGUAGCCAGGCUUGGUGGCGUGCACCUGUAGUACCAGCUACUCAGGAGGCUUAAGCAGGAGGAUCACUUGAGCCCAGAGGUCUGAGACUGUAGUGCACCAUAAUAGCACCUGUAAAUAGCCACUGAACUCUGGGACAACAUAGAAAGAGCCCAUCUCUGAAAUGUAAAUAAGCAAAACAUUUUUUACCUGAUUAUGUAGUUUUUUGAGGUUUAUCCAUCUCAAAAAAAUUCAUAUAAAAGCGGUUAUGUGAAUAUACCAUUUUUAUUCUCUCGUUUGUUUGCCAUUUAGGAUAUCUCCAAUUUCUAAUUUUCCACCAUUAUAAAUAACACUGCCGUAAAUGUUCUCUUGUAUGUGACUUUGUGCACUUGAGAAGGUGUUUCACCAGGCCAGGGGCUGGCAAACCACAGCCCUCAGGCCAAGUCGGCCACCUGUUUUUCUAUAGCUUGCGGGCUACCUGCCCUAAGAAUGGUUUUCACAGUUUUAAAUGCUUACACUUUAAAUGGUUAUAGAAGUACCUGUCUUUAUUCUUGGCCAUUCAGGUUUCCUUUUCUGUGAAUUUCCUAUCCAUAAUUUUCUUACGAAUUUGUAGUAGUUCUUUAUAAAUUUAUUCAUUCAUCCAACAGAUAUUUAUUAAGUACCUCUGUCAUGUGGCAGCGCUGUAAAUAAAGUGAACAAAACAUUAAAUCUCUGCUUCUGUGUCUCCUACAUUCUAGUGAAGGAAAACAGCUAAUAAACAAAUAAAGUAUUUAGUAUGAUGAAUGUUUAGUGUAAUAGAAAAAUAAUGCAGGGACAGGGAAUAAGAUAUGUUUUAGAGGGACAUACUUUUAAAUAAGGUGAUCAGGGUAAGCCCUUUGAAAGGUGACAUUUGAGGGGAAAAAAAUUCUGAAGGAGGUAAGAAGGCUAGCUAUACAGGUGGCAGAGAAAAGAGAGUUUAGGCAGAAGAUACAGCAAGUCUUUAAAGCCCUGAGGAGGAAUUCAGGAAACAGCAAGAAGGCCAGUGUGGCUGGAACAGAGUAAGCUGGGAAGACAAGUGGAAGAGGAAAUAUAACGAGGCUGCAGAGGCCACUAUGAGGACCUUGGCUUUCACCUGGAGUAAGAUGGAAGCCAUUGGAGCAUUUCAAGCAAAGGUGUGGCAUUUAGAGUAACACCCAUCAGCAUGGUUGUGUGUUUUCCCUAGUCACAUUCAGCACUGUGGAUGUAGGCAUACACAAAGAGAUGACUUUAAGCUGGGUUGAGGUUUUUCCAAGCAAGAAUGAAGCAAGAGAGGGCAAUAAUUGUUCAUAGAAUUUAAACUGGGUAAAUAGGGAUGUGAGGGUGAAAUGAGGUAGGGUCAAGGAUUACAGGGUUUCAAAGGAUUGUUGGAGUUGGAAACAAGCUAGGAUGGGAUGUAGAAGUCAAAGAAUGAGAUGCUUGAAAUUGAGACUGGAAGAGUAGCAGUUAUCGAUAAUGGCGAUGUCUAAGAUAUGGUCAUGGGAAUGAGCAGCUGAGGCCAUUAUCUGUAAUGCUACCUUAUCAUAUAUCAAGUUUCUAUACAUGAAUGGAUCUGUGUCUUGUCUAUCAUGUUUCAUGAGCCAAUACCACAAUAUAUUAUUACAGUUUUAUAAUGAGUCCUGAUAUCUGAGAUGGCAAGUCCCUUCAUUUCAUUGUUCUUUCUUAAAAUUAUCUUAGCUAUCGGUUCUUUGCCUUUCGUGUGAAUUUUAGAUUAAGUUUAUUAAAUCCCACAAAAGGCUCUGUUGGGAUUUUUAUUGCAAUUGCAUUGACUUUAUGGAUCAUUUUGAAAAAAGUGAUAGCUUUGUAAUAUUGAGUAGUCCCAAACAUGAAGAUACCUUUCUAUAUAUUAAGGUGCUCUUUAAGGCCUUUCAAUAGCAUUUGUCACUUUUCUCCAAAAU
rnacentral:lncRNA from 1 species